rnacentral:rRNA from 1 species
AUUGAACGCUGGCGGCAUGCCUUACACAUGCAAGUCGAACGGCAGCACGGGAGCUUGCUCCUGGUGGCGAGUGGCGAACGGGUGAGUAAUGCAUCGGAACGUGCCCUGAAGUGGGGGAUAACGUAGCGAAAGUUACGCUAAUACCGCAUAUUCUGUGAGCAGGAAAGCAGGGGACCGCAAGGCCUUGCGCUCUUUGAGCGGCCGAUGUCAGAUUAGCUAGUUGGUGAGGUAACGGCUUACCAAGGCGACGAUCUGUAGCGGGUCUGAGAGGAUGAUCCGCCACACUGGAACUGAGACACGGUCCAGACUCCUACGGGAGGCAGCAGUGGGGAAUUUUGGACAAUGGGGGGCAACCCUGAUCCAGCCAUGCCGCGUGAGUGAAGAA